ACACAAUCACAUAAAUCUCUAAACAACAAUUGGCUGAAGAGGACCUUAAUUGAUCCUAUAACCUGAGGUAGAGGGAUUUUAGUCGGUAAGUCCGAGGACAUCUCCCUCGGGAAUCCGGCACUACCCAGUCGUACGGAUGGCUGGGUGUCUUUUGAAGAUUUCCCCUCUUCCACGAAA
rfam:Agrilus planipennis Contig20041, whole genome shotgun sequence.